rnacentral:lncRNA from 1 species
ACACAGAGCCAAAUUCUAUCAGGCCAUAUGAUCCAGUAGACCCCAUAGUAUCAGAGGUAUUUGUGGUAGAAAAAAAAAACAUCUUGUAGAAUCUCUGCAAGUCCUAACAGCAGAGUCAUAAGCGGACCUAAAGGGUUCUAGAACAAAACCAUGCCAUCUGCAGCAGAGAUGUAUACACAGUUCCAAAAACAGCUUCUAGCAUGCUACUGGAAAAGACUCUGGUAGAGACAAGAGUAUUUGAUCGUGGAACACCAGGUAACCAUGAGACCAGAACUGCCCCUCAUGAGCUGGGUACUGUCAGCCCCACUGCCAAGUCAAAAAGCCAACAACCCAUCGAACAUGGAAGUGGAAGAUCCGGGAUCAAGUUCAGACAAAUGCAGAGGGAAGAAGUAAUUGAACAAACAGGUGGACCAUACUCCAUGUCACCAAACACAUUUGUGUCAAUGUCUUCCUCAGCUCACAUAUGGUAUUAUGGAGGUUCCCCAUGGCCAGCCAACAGAGAAAGGAAAAGUUCAAGUUUUGAUCCUAGAUGUUGGCACAAGCUGAAAAUGGAAAUUGCUGCACUCCAGCCCCAUUCAGGAGGGCUCUGAAAGGCAGACAAUGCACCUAGUCACCUGAAAGACAGCAGGGAGGGGAAAUUCUUGAAAUGGGAAAAGCUUCAGACAAUGUGCCUGGUCACCUGGUCAUCCACUUUGUGCAGAGAGAAAAGUGGCCUGAGGUAGGAAUAUACAUAGACUGGUGGAAAGUGGCAAAUGGUAUAGCCUGUAAGUCAAGAGUCUGAAAUGAACAAGGCUCGAGAUCAAGAACAAGGAAGUCUUAGGUAGAGGUGUAUGAAUGGGCUGUGGGAACGGACACAUAUAUCUUUGUAUUGUAUGUUAACACACACCAGAGAGUAUCCACUGUGAAAGACUAGACAAGAUGACUUAGCCAGGCAAUAUUAGCCAGCCUCAGUUCUUGGCCACUGUUGUCUUACACAAUGAGCCCAUAAACAAAAUAAUCAUGAUAGCAGAGAUUGAGUUAUGCAUGAACUCAACAGCAUAGACUUCUCAACAAGAUUGGUCUAGCUACUACCACUGCUCCUUGGGUUAACAAAUCAGUAGGCGCAGGAAGGGUUGCCAUAGUGUCAGGGGUUGUUGGCCCUGAACAUCAAAAGGAAGUGUGGCUUGCUGCCACAUGAGACCAUGGAGAAGUGUGUUUGGAAUUCAAGUGAUCCACAUCCACUGGGUUGUCCCUUGGUACUCCUGUGCCCAGUGUUAUCUAUACAUAACCAACCAUAAUCUAGUAACCAGGUGCACAGGCCUUUAGAGGUGAUUGACUGGGUCACCCCACUAGGCAAGCCACCCAGCCCAGCAGAAGUGCUAGCCAAGCAUAUGAAAAAUCUAAAGCAAGUAGUAGAAAAAGAUAUUGAUGAUCAAUAUUGGCCUUGAGAGCAACUUCAGCAACAGAAACUAUAGUUCACCCCACUAAUCCUCUUCUUGUAGGUUUCCUCAGAAACGUAACCACAGAAUUCUAGAGAAGCUGAGACCAGGUGGAGUGAACUGAAUGUGAGAAUCAAAAGAACCUGAGAGGUGCACGUGGCGGAUUGUGCUAUAUGUUGUUGGUGCCUUGCAGAGAUCCUCUUUUACAAGCAAGGCACCCAUCUUCCAACUGCUGUGAGUGUUGGUUACUAAUAGCUCGCAGCUGCCCCCUUUCUCCAGCAGCUCUUCCUUAGUUGAUGGGAGAUGUUGCUUUGCUCAGAGGUUAUACAACUCUUCCCAGAGAAUACAGUCCACAGGCAGUGCCUGAUUGACAUUGGAGUAUAAAAUGUCACUCCUUUUCCCAAUGGAUAAGAGAGGGCUGCAGUCUAAGUUACAAUUCAGGGCUCCAUUAUCCUCAUGGAUCAGACUUAGGCAAGACUUCACAUUGACUUUUCCUCCUUCACUAUCCUGUUUUACUCCUUUCAUUAAAGGCUUUUCCUAGUAGCACUCCCUCUAUGAUUCACAUGCAUCCAAAUACCUGCCUCAGGCUCUGCUCUAGGAAGCAGGACCAAGAUUUCUUUUGGCUGUGUCUUAUGCAUCAUUGAAGCCUCACCACCUAGUAUCAUGAUGCCUAGCACAAAAUAAAUCAAUGCAUGUCUGCAUGCAUGAAUAAAUCAAUGAAAUAAUGAAAGAAACUGGGGAAACUCAGAUGUCAAAGAUUUGCCCGAGGUCAUCCACAUCAUAAGUAGCCAAGCCUUAAACAUGCACCUUUUGGAGACAGCCCCUGGUAUAGUAAUGCCUACAUGAAUGAAUGAAUUGCAGAAGGAAUUUGUGCUUAAAUAAAGGUUGUCCUCUAGAAAGACUCAUUCUAGGCCCCUAUGAUUGACCAACUAAUACAAAUGACUCAAAGUCUUGAAAGCUUUAAAAGGAGUAUGGAAACCAAUAUUUUUCAACCCCUUCUAUGUGCCAGGAAAAUAACUUUAUUUCAACUUAAUAGUAACUAUUUUGGGUAGAUUUUCUUAACAUCCCCAUUUUCAGAUGUCCAAGGGAUGUCCAGGAAAGCAGGGAUUUCAAACUCAGAUGUCUGUAAGAAUCAGGUUGGUAUGAGGUGAGUAAAGAGGCCCAGUUAGAAGGCAUCUGAGAAUGGUGGGGACAAUGACAAACCAGAGACUGCAUUGAAAUGGAGCAGCCUCUGCUCAGCUCUAGAUGCAUGAUGUGCAAAUCACUCCUUCUGAUUAUUCAAAGGAACUGGAAAUCAUGAUUUUUAUGUGCAGUCUGCUAAUUUGUAACUGUUAGUAACUAAUUUGAGAAAUUACAAAACACUGUGAGAGCCAUAUCUGACCUGUGGACCACUGGAUUUCAACUUCAGUAGUCAAGGAUCUAAGCAUUAAGAGACAUUAGAAUAAAAGGCUUAAGGUUUCUUAACAUCCAAUAUUCUGCCCUUCUGUGUCUCCAAAGCACCUUCACUGCUGUGACCCCAGAUCUGUACAGAGAGGCUUUCUCCUCUCCUUUCCCAGGUAGGACCCCCCCUUCCCCAUAAUUUUUGCCCGCAAGCCUAGAGACAUCCUAGUGCUUCCAGGAUCUAGUUUCGAUUCCUCUAGGGGAGGGAGGAGUAAGCAUUUCAGGCCAGAGAAAAGAGAUGUCUAACCCCUGACAUCAUCAUCAUUCCUCGUGCCUUUUGAGGAAUUUCCACAUGCCCUGACCUUUUCUGUCCCUCAGCUUGGCCAAGUGGUGUUACGACCUUCCUGACAGGUGCAGAAGCUGAGGCUCAGUCUCCAGCUGGUACUGAGAGGUUCAUCUGCUUACUGAAACCCUGGGCAUUGAAAUGGCCAAGGAGGACUUUGUAACCACUGACUGCUGCUGUUGCUAAGAAACAGGUCCUUUAAAUUCAAUUUACAAAAAAAAAUAGAGUGAGCGAGCAAGUGAGCGAGAGCAAGGAAGAGAUGCUUGAACAUCUGGUUAUCUUUCCAGCUGUCUCCGGUGACUAUGGAAAUGAGAUAAGGACAUUCCAAGAUGGAUGCUGCCCCUCUUCAAGCCAACUUUCCUCUAGGCUAAUAUUUUAGAUCAACACUGGGUUUGCUGGGGUGGGGGUGUAGGAGUCUCCUUUCAGGAAACUCAGUAGGUUGAACAAAUUCCGGUCACAUUCCCCCUCCAGGGCAGAUGCAGUCUCCCCGCAAAAGUCAGCUCCCUGGUCCUUCUGUUUGGUGCCCCCACUACUUCCACUGCCAGAAUAAAUCAUUCCGCAUAUUUGUA